GAUUUAGUUGGUUUUCACACCUAUGAUAAUCCCUUUUGUUCAGCAGCAAGAUGAGAGUUUUAGGAGCACUCCUUGAUAUGUUAGGUUCCUUGCCAUUUGCCUUCUUCUUAGGUUAAAGCUGCACAAGAAUCACUUGAGGAGUUUUGCAGUAUAGGGAGGGGUAAAUUCAAGAAGAGCAAGAACAAUUAACCAAACUCAAACCCACAAUAGCUACCUCAUAUUGUCUUGCUGAGUUUACCCUUCUUUGACUAUUUUUAUUCUUGAUGUUCAUUUUCUUGUGCCACUGCUUCUUGGAACAUUUUCCUCAUUAUU